AUGAACGAUAUUUGUCAUAGUGCUGAACUUUUGUACUUAACUUGCAGCAAGUAUGAUGCCUAUUUGUCUUCAAUUGGCCAUGGGACUAAGUUAGAGAUUAGUCGCACUCGCCAUGUGAAAUUCCAUGAGUGGUUUAAAUCCCAUGUGGCACAACUAGUUGCGAAUGGUGAAGAUAUUUCUGAAGAGAUUCGAACUUUAGCUAAUGGGCCCUUCUUAGCUACAAGGAAAUGUAAUAGCUAUACCAUAGAUGGGUACAAUUUCCACACAAAGUCCUAUGAUGAGGGUAGACAUACCCAAAGCAGUGGGGUUGCUCUUGUCUCUCAAAUUCUGUCGCCCUCAUGUGAAGAUAGUGAAAAUCUUAUGGUCACAAAUAAAAUAUAUUAUGGUGUGAUAACCGAAAUUCUUGAGUUAAAUUAUAACAACAAAGGAAGUAUUGUGCUUUUCAAAUGUGAUUGGGUUGACAACCGUGCACAAGACAAGUGGGUUCAAGUUGAUUAUUUGGGUGCCACGCGUGUGAACUUCAAGCAUUCACUCAAGUCUGAUGAAUCUUUUAUUUUGGCAUCUCAAGCAACUCAAGUGUACUAUGUGCAAGAUGAUCUUGAUAAAGAUUGGUGUUUUGUUAGAAGUUUUCCACAUCCACGAGACCUUUAUGAUAUGUUUGAAGCGGAAGAUGGUGCUUAUGACCAGCAUGAUGCACCUAGUGUACCAAUCCCUGAUCUAGAUGCCAAUGUAGAUCUCAGUGUUGAUGUUAGAAAUAUACCUCAUAGUAGGACAGAUAUGGAUGGAACACUUGUUCGUGCAAUUCAUCAACCAAAGUGUGUGUCUUUUCCUUACAUUUUUCAGUUAUAUGCUUACCUACUUGACAUCUAA
rnacentral:rRNA from 1 species